AUCAUGUGAUGUGGACAUUGUCUAAGCAACUCAUUAAAUCUCUCCCAAGCUUUAAAUAAAGAUUCAUCCUCUCCUUGUCUAAAUGAAGUUAUCUCAUUCCUCAUCUU